UUUUAUGAGAGUUUGAUCCUGGCUCAGGACGAACGCUGGCGGCGUGCCUAAUACAUGCAAGUCGAACGCUUCUUUUU
rnacentral:rRNA from 1 species